AUAAACGAAGCUGGAGAAACACAAGCCAAAGUGAAGUAUUGCUUGUUCUUAAUCCUGCCUCAUUUGGGGCACUUCUUUGUGAGAAUCCUGAAGUAGCUGAAGAUCCCUUCAAAGAAAAGCUAGUUAUAGAAGACUUAUCCCUGGCGCUCAUGUGAUCAGACAGGUUUCAAUGAAGUUGGCAUGCAGUACCUGUCCAUCACACCCUGAUACAUGAGCUUCUAAAAGUGAUGCAGGUACCCAGAGCCACUUCCCUGGGAGCAAGGAUAGCUGUUGUUCCCCCCAAGCAGCUGCAGCGUGAAGUGGUGGGAUACUCUCAGCCUCUGCAUCUCCACUGCUUCCUGCAGCUUCUCAUGCUCUUAUGAUUUAGGAGAAUUUUUAUGUCAGAACUUGAAUUGUUGCAAGUCUUGUUGAUACUUCUGUUUUCUUUGAAUACCAGCUGUUCUGGGAUUGAGCAACCUCCUGUUCCACCUCAACAUGCAACGAAAUCCAGAUGAUCUGUCACAUGGCACCUUCACUGGUUUGGUUCAGACUUAAAAAAGUAAGUUUGCCCUGAACUCCAGCUGACUGUGAGUCUAUUAGUGGCUUCCUUGUGAAGCGCCCAGUAUCAAACAGAACUCACAAAUUACAUGUAGGUUUCUCAAUAAUUAAAUUUCUUCACUCUUCCUCCUAGGUCUCUGGAAAAAACAUGAGAUUUUUCUUAUUUUUCAUGACUUAGAAAUAUUGCCACUGCAUAAAAUAUGGAGCAUUCACAUUUAAACCAGGAAGAACACUUAGCUUUCAUUGGGUUGAAAGCUAUUGUGGACCCCACAGUAGCCCAAAUAAGGGAGAGAACACCAAAACAGAGCAGGAGAACCACUGUCAUCAGCAGAAGAAGUUGAAGACAACUGAUCAGGGUGCCUGGAGGAACUGAUGAGGGUAAAAGCAUUGGUGCCUAGGAGAGAAGAAAGCCUCCAUCACAAAGGGCAAGAGUACAAAGCCCAUGGGAAGGUACUAUAAGGACUGAAGGAAGCCACUGGCAGGAGCAGGAGCAGAUCAGGAGCAGCCUGAGUGUCAGGGCAGCAGGUCGGGACAAGGACAAGGCAGUUUGUGUGGCUGUGCCUCACCUACCAAACUCAGAAAUUGAAGCUGUUGCUUACUCGCCACUAAAAUUAUCUGUUACUCCAUGUUUAUUCAGCCUGCUUGUGGGAAUUGAGCCUUGCUGUUUCAAAUUAGAGGCAGUUAUAUGAGCACCACAGACGUAGAGUAAGAAUUUCAGUGGCAUACUGAGGUGAUUCUUUGACUUGUACUUCAAUAUCACUCCAAGUGCUUAGUAAUAAGGCAGGAUUUAAUUUCUGCAUGUGUCAAAUGCCAUACUGGUGUAAAUAGACACAGUCACUGCAGUAUGAUUUGGUGUAUUUGUAUCAGUGGAGGAAUUUCCUUCCAUUUAGUGAGCCUUUAAGGAAAAGAAUAGACCAGAAGAAAGUACAAAUAUUUCUUUUCAUAUCCACCAGUUUCUAAACUUAAACUUACUUCUUCCUAUGCUGUAGUAUUUUAAAACCAGAACAAAGAGCCGAUGAGAGUAAGCACAGCUAUGUGCUAAUUUAUAACUGCUCAGAGUAAAAGGCAGUUCCAGCUGACAGUAGCUUCAAAAAAAUUGUGCCUCCUGUAAAUUAGAGUAAGGGAACUGAUCACUGAAGGUAAACAGGUGAUGAAAUACUUCAUUAGUACCUCAUUUGUAAUUUAUGUCUGCUGAAGUAGUUGACAAAGAAUCAAAACGUAAGUGGUAGAUUUCUCAGAAGUGUAGCCUUUGAGGUCACUGAAGUGGAUUAAUUAUAACCCAGUGUAAAGCACAGCCUGUCUCUGUGUCAAUUACCAGUAUUUGAUAACUGAAAUUAUGUCAAGCUCUGUUCUUCUUCAAGAUGCAGCCACACAUUUUAAAAUCAUUAUGACUGUAAGCAUGAGCUUCACAUAGCUAAUGAGUUCAGCUCAUUUAUUAAAGUUCAUUUUGACUUAGCAGAUAGCAUUUGAGAUUCAGAGGGGAGUGGGUGGCAAGGGAUCCAGUUCUGCAAAAAUAAAUGCCUUUCCUUUUCCCCUCUCCCAGUCCUGUGCAGGAGAAACAAAGUUAAUUCACUUGCCAAGAAUCAUUUAAAUAUACUGUAGGAGAAAGACUUGAGGCCGUCAACUGCUAUUAAAUAUGACCUGCUUCUAAUGGCUAUCAGAGUUCUAAUUAUUCAGCGAAAAUGCUGGGCUUAAUGAAUACCUCCUGUUCAUAUUCAUAAUAGCAAAGGGACUGAUAACAUAUCUCUGCCACAUUUUGGGAUUUUCUUCCCCUUCUUCCUUCGUUUUUCACACUCUUCCUUGGAACUGCACAAGUAUUGGGUAGGGUUAAAUAACAUCUGUUAUCAAAACCUACCACACACUCUUUGGUGAGUAACUCUAUCUUCCAUGGCUGUGCAAUCUGCUGCCAGCAGAGCAGGCAAGUAGUGCACACUUGCUGCAUCCUGACACACAGCAACACUGCCUGCACACAGCAAGCAAACUGUGAAAGCAAUGGCUUUGAGGUUUUUUUCUCAUGCAAAAGCAGAUAAUAAACUGAUCACUACAACACCA